GAUUAUUGUCUGUCAGAAUAAUGUAGACCUGUAGAAUCAUAGGACUCUUUCAUCAGAGAAAUUCAAGACAUGACAGGCACACAAGUCAUGUUUCAUACUCAGGGAAUAGAUUUUGUAGGGAAAGAGUUGAAACAGGAGAAUGAGGUUUUUGAAUUACGAAUUAAGUUUCACUGUUCUCCAUUACUAUGUGAUAAUCAGGAGUUGUGUGUGUAAUACAGUCAAUAAUACAGUCUUGUUAAUUAUUGUGUUUGAUUUCUGAUGCUUUACAUUCUAGAAAAAGGUACAUGAGUUAUAUUAAUCUGUUUUAAUAUCUUUAUGACAUUAGUUUGGAAAUGUUCAAGUAUUAUAAUUUUUUAAAAAGAAUAUGUGUUAUGCUAUUGGAUGUAGUGUUGUAUAAAUGUAAAUUAGGGUAGGAUAGUUAUAGUGUUAAUCAGACUGUUUAUAUCUUUACUAACUUUGUUUUAUUGAUAGAAGGAUGUUGAAAUCAACUAUGAUUGUGGAUUUUCUAUUUCUCCAUUAAUUCUGUGAAUUUGUGCUUCAUGUAUUUGGAAGCUCUGUUAUUAGUCUUACAUAUAUUUGUGGUUUUUAGUCUUCCUAUGAUUUAACUCUUUUAUCAUUAUGAAAUGUCUUUCUUUAUCUCUGGUUGUGAUGUCUGUCUGAUAUUACUGUAGCCACUCUAGCCUUCUUAUACUUACUGUUUACAUGAUUUUUUUAUACUUUAACUUUCAAAGUAUCUGUGUCUUUAUAUUUAAAGUGUAUUGCUUAUAGAUAGCACAUAGUUGGGUCUUGGUCUUGCUUUUUUAUCCAGUCUGACAAUUUCUUUAUUUUAAUUAGAUUUUUAACCCAUUUACAUUUAAUGUAACUGUUGAUAUUGUGGAUAUAGGUUUACCAUUUUCAUGUUUGCUUUCUGGUUUUGUUGUUGUUGUUGUUGUUGUUGUUCCUUUAUUCCUCUACCACUUCUCUUUCUCUUUUUGAGACUGAGUUUUUUGUCUUUUUAUCAACCUUGGAAAAAAUUUUGCUAUUAUUUAUUCAGGUAUUUUCCUGCUCCAUUCUUUCUUCUCCUCUGGGACCGCAAUUACAUACAUAUGUGUUAGAUCUUUUGAUAAUGUACCACAAAAACACUGAGGUUCUAUUCAAUUUUUUUCGAUCCUUAUUUCUCUUUCAUCUUUAUAUUGGAACUGUAAUUUGCAAGUCAAUUGAAUUUUUUAUUCAUAUAUUGUAUUUUUCUGACCUAGAAUUUCCAUUUUUAAGAGGGUGUAUUCCUCUGUUGAGAUUUCCUAUUUUUUAAAUUCAUUACAAGCUUAUUUUCCUUUAUGUCCUUCAGCAUAGUUAUAAUAGCUGCUUUAAAUCCUUAUCUACUAAUUCUAACAUGUGGACAUCUCAGGGUCAGUUACAUUGACUGUCUUAUCUUUUGAGUAUUGGCAUGUAUUCCUGUUUCUUUGUGAUCUAGUAAUUUUGGAUUGUAUUCUAGACAUUUUGAAUGAUCCAUUGUAGAGACUUUAGAUUCUGUUAUAUUUUUCCAAAGAAAACUGAUUUUUGUUUGUUUGUCUUAUCAGACAGAUAAUUUGCCUAAACUCAAACUUCAAACUCUGUCUCCUCUGGGGUAGACAGCAGCUGAAAUCUCUUCAGUUUUUUAUCCUUAAUUUGACUGCUUGGAGCCUCAUAUCUGUAGAGAUGAAAGUUUAGCCAGAACUGUGGGCUCAGUGUUUACCCAGAAUUUAGGACUCUCCAUCUGUGUCUCUUUUCUGAAAAUUUCCUUUAUUUUCUAGCUGCUAUAAUUGUAUCAAACUCUGUUUUCUGGUCUCUUAAGCCCAUGAAAUAGCAUUUCUAUCUGACAUUUAUCCAUCAUUGAAUAAUACCAACUGGUGCCUCCCCUCAGGCAAAAAGCUAUAAAAAGAGGAGAAGCUCACCUAGUGCCAUUUUUUUCUUCCAAGUGUCAACUCUCAUUUAAUUUCUACAUGCUUUGGUCAUUCUCCAUUGCCUUUAAAAUUUAUCAAGACUUUAUAGAUACUAUUCUUUGGAAGGAUUGACCUAACAGGAUCUACUCUGACAUUUCUGGAAGUAUAACCUCCUUGUCAUCUUUUCUUAACCUGGCAUUGAGAACCCUAUGCCUAUUUUGGUCCUAACAUAUUUUUUCCAUCCUUAUUUUCUAUCAUUAUACUCUAUGUAGCCAUGUUUCUGCUAAAAUGAUCUACUAUUUCAUCCCUUAGAAAAUUUUAUACAUUCCUACUUUACAUCUUUGUUUACAUUGCUCCCUCCAACCCAUAUUCUAUCCCACACUUUCCUUCUUCUGAAAUCUUUACCAUUUUCCAAGUCUCAGCAUAAUACCUAUCUGGUUUUUUCCAUGAAUUCUUUCCUAAUCAGUUUUGCCCAACCUGACCUCCUAAGGCUUUAUUAUCUACACCAUUCACUGGACAUUGAAUUGUACACUGCCUCAUAAUAUUACAUUUAUUGUAGUCACUCAACCAAAAAUAUGAUGCAUUUCUUUUCAACCUAAUUAGAUUAUACUCUCUUUGAGGCAAAGAACCUUAUAUUUAUAUUUCAUUUUUCUCCUACAAGCUCUAACUCAAUCUUCAGUUCAGUAAAUAGUCUGUUUAAUAAAUUUUUUAAUGAAUGAGUUAUUCCAAUAUUAAUAUUUAUGUAAAGUGCCUAGAACAUGAUCUGGCACAUAGCAAACAAUAAUCAAGGUUAUCUGUUGUUAUUAUUAUCUGAAAUCAGCAUAGUAAUGUAUGAAUGUUCUUCUUACUCCACCCUCUGAUUAUUAUUUCUGUUCUUGGGUUCAAAGACUUGUGGAAUCUUAGAACUAGAAAAUAUUUAAGGUCAUCUGAUAAAAUCCUUUUAUUCUGGCAGAUCACAGGGCUUAAGCAGAUUCAAGGCUAUCUGGUCCAUCUCACUGUAUCAGAGGUUUUCAAUCAAGGAGGCUAUAAACAGCCACUCCUAUUAUUUGGUCCAAAAUGUCCACAGCACUAAAGGUCGAGAAAUCCUGUGCUACAGUAGCUCUAUACCCUUUAUUUAACCUUCCUUAAAAAAGACUUACCUGCUUUCCUGGUUAACAUGUUCUGUUGUCACAGAGAGUUCUUAAUACCAGACUUAUUCUUUAUUUGGUAUUUCUUUAUUUAUAUUUCCCUGUUUUGAGAAGAACAUUUAAAUAGCUAAAAUAUGGGGUGCCUGGGUGGCUCAGUUGGUUAAGCAACUGCCUUCGGCUCAGGUCAUGAUCCUGAGUCCCACAUCGUGCUACCUGCUCAGCAGGGAGUCUGCCUCUCCCUCUGACCCUCCCCCUUCUCAUGCUCUCUCUCUCUCUCAUUCUCUCUCUCAAAUAAAUAAUAAAACCUUUUUAAAAAAUAGCUAAAAUACAUAGGAAAAAUAACUUUUGCAGAAUAAUUUUCCUCAUACUUGUGACUUUUAAAAUUAUUUGGGAGAGUUUAGAGAGUGGGACAUACACCUCGUGAGUGGACACCUUUGUUUUGCGCACGAUGAAAGAGUAAUUUAAAAAUGGAUGAUGUAGGGGCACCUGGUGGGUCAGUUGGUUAAGUGUUCGACUCAUGAUUUCAGCUCAGGCCAUGAUCUCAGGGUCUUGAGAUCAAGCCCCACAUUAGGCUCUGUACUUGGCAGGGAGUCUGCUUAGGAUUCUUUCCCUCUCCAUCUCCCUCUCCCUCUGCCCCACCCCCUGCUCAUGCACUCUCGCUCUCUCUCAAAUAAAUAAAUAAAUAAAUCUUUUAAAAAAUGAAAAAAAAAAAUGGGUGAUAUUGAGAAAGGCAAGUCUUUUGUUCAGAAAUGUGCCCAGUGUCAUACCAUGGAAGAGGGAGGCAAGCACAAGACUGGGCCAAAUCUCCAUGGUUUAUUUGGGCGUCAGCCCCCUAGAUUUUCUUACAUGGAUACCAAAAAGAACAACAGUCUUGGAGAAUCCCAAGAAGUACAUCCCUGGAACAACAACAACAAAAAUUAUCUUUGCUGACAUUAAGGAGAAAAGGAAAAGAGCAGACUUGAUAGCUUAUCUCAAAAAAGCUACUAAGCAGGGGUGCCUGGGUGGCUCAGUUGGUUAAGUGUCUGCCUUUGGCUCAGGUCAUGAUUCCAGGGUCCUGGGAUUAAGCCCCACAUUGGGCUCCCUGCUCUGCGGGAAACCUGCUUCUCCCUCGGGCUCCCUGCUCAGCGGGGAAUCUGCUUCUCCCCUCCCACUCCCCCUGCUUGUGUUCCCUCUCUCGCUGUCUCUCUCUCUGUGUCAAAUAAAUAAAUAAAAUCUUUUUUAAAAAAGCUAAUAAGGAGUAAUAGUUGGCCAUUGCCUUACUUAUUACAAAACAAAAAUGUCUUAUGACUUUUGUAUGUGUACCAUCUUUAAAUUGAUUUCAUACACCAGAAUCCAGAUCUGAAUGGAUGAUAGACUAUUUCUUUUGGACAGUCCUGAUUUAAAUAAGUUGGGCUCGUGGUUAAAUGAAUAGGAUCAGCUUUUUGAACUUUGAUAGUAAUUCUGGUUCAGCAAGUGCUGUCAUGUUUUCCCCUUCUAAAAAUAUGAUUGGAGUUGAUUAGUAAUGUUCAGCUUUUCACAGAGAUGGUAAAUGCCAUCUCCUAACUUAUAGGAGAUUGGUUUUAUAUUUAGAUUUAUGUAACUGGUUAUAGUAAUGUAUUUAAAUACAAAGGAAAUCCCUUCACCGUCUCAUAGAACAGCAAGACUCAGCUAUGUUUCAAGUUGUGUUCGUUAGCCUGUGAAAGGCAAGGGCUGAAGUUAAGUUGGCAAUGUCCACUUUAUCUUUUUGGUCUUAACUAUGCCGACUUAAUUAAAAUUCCCUGCCUCUUAAAUGUUGCCUUUUGCUUAAUGAAAGGCAUUUUAGUGUGGUUUAUGUAUAAUAUCAAAAAAAGAAUAUUUGGGGUGCCUGGGUGGCUCAGUUGGUUGAGCGACUGCCUUCAGCUCAGGUCAUGAUCCUGGAUUCCCUGGAUCGAGUCCCGCAUCGGGCUUCCUGCUCAGCAGGGUGUCUGCUUCUCCCUCUGACUCUCUCCCCUCUCAUGUGCUCUCUCCCUCUUUCUGUCUCUCAAAUAAAUAAAUAAGAUCUUUAAAAAAAAAAGAAUAUUUAACACUUCUCACAUUUCAUAGAUGAUCUGUAAGGUCAGAUGCUUUUAAGAUUCAGUGUGACGAUAUAGCAGCCGACUUGGCUUGUGAAUUCUUUACUAAGUCAGACCGAGUUAUAAUUCAGGAUUGUCUUCUAAACAGCUAUUCAAAAACAUAACUGUGGCAUUACCAUAUCUGUAUGAUUGGUAAUGGUGUUUUUGACAACUCCUUAGAAGGGUUAAAGUAGAGGAGGUAUAUCAGCAGCACAAAUUUGUAAGUUAUGUGAUAAGGCUUAAGAUAAUUAAAAACAAAAUCACAGGGGCGCCUGGGUGGCUCAGUCGUUAAGCAUCUGCCUUCGGCUCAGGUCAUGAUCCCAGGGUCCUGGGAUCGAGCCCCGCAUCGGGCUCCCUGCUCCACGGGAAGCCUGCUUCUCCCUCUCCCACUCCCCCUGCUUGUGUCCCCUCUCGCUGUGUCUCUCUCUGUCAAAUAAAUUAAUAAAAUCUUAAAAAUAAAUAAAUAAAUAAAAACAAAAUCACAGAUCAAAAAAUUUGGGAGAAAUUGUAAAAAUUAUCUGGAGAGAGAGAUGUUACAAAGUUAAUAGAGGCUUAUCAAAUAUCUUAGUAAUAGUAGUUGUUGUACAACCAGCUCUUUUAGCUUUAUAUGCAGUGUUCCCUGAUGACCGUCAGGGCAGAAAAGGGGUUAGAUGAAAGAAAAAGCAGGUUACUUGUCACCAACUGGAGUGGGAGAGAGAGAGACAGAAUGGCAGCCGUCAUUCUGCCUUCCUCUGUAGCUGCUUUUCUCCAUUCUUCCUUAUCUCUCUGCCCAAUUUCCAAGGCGAGGAGUAUAUGCAGUGAUGACGGCUAUUGACUGAACAUUGUUAGGAACAAAGGCCUGUGGAGAGGUCAGUACAUUUCCUCCUCUAGCAAGAGAUACCAGAGCUGUGAUCUACUUUUCAAAGUUUCCUGAAGGGAAGUACAAAUAUCCCGGUCUGAGUUGGGGAGAAAAUCCCAGAUGCACAGGUUGCUUUGUCAUGAGUUUGCAGAUCAUCAUUUUCUUUGCCCUUACUAGUUCUGUUCCCUUCUCUCGGUGGUAGUCAUAUGGUGACAUCUUGCCUCAGAAGCCAUUUUUAUUCUUAUUUAGUGUUUGCUCUCUAAAGAUGGUUCUUUUCUGGGUGACUCAGAGCUACAAGGUUCAAGGUCACAAUGAACUUUAGCCCCAAUUCGUGUGUAACCUAGGUGCUUACGCAAAUACAUGCAUGUGGCUUACUUAAAUCUUAUUUAUGUUUAGUCUGUCUUGCCAUUCUUUUUUUUUUUAAGGAUUUUAUUUUUAAGUAAUCUCUACACCCAAUGUGGGGCUCGAACUCACAACCCCAAGAUCAAGAGUUGCACACUCUACCAACUGAGCCAGCCAGAUGCCUCUGUCUUGCCAUUCUUUUUAGCAAGAAAAGAUUAAAGCCUGAUCCUACUCCCAACUUUUCUGCAUGUUUUCAGGGUUUAUUUAAGAUAUUUCUUUGACUGUCAAUAAAAUGUAAUAAUAUUUCUAGCUUUUUCUCAAAUCAGAUUUCUGAUUUUUUUUUAAAUUUCUAAAUAUUUUAUUUAUUUAUUUGAGAGAGGAGAGUGAACAUGAGAGAGUGAGCACCAGGGGGAGCAGAGGCUGAGG